AGACCCGAAACCCGGUGAUCUAGCCAUGGGCAGGUUGAAGGUUGGGUAACACUAACUGGAGGACCGAACCGACUAAUGUUGAAAAAUUAGCGGAUGACCUGUGGCUGGGGGUGAAAGGCCAAUCAAACCGGGAGAUAGCUGGUUCUCCCCGAAAGCUAUUUAGGUAGCGCCUCGUGAAUUCAUCUCCGGGGGUAGAGCACUGUUUCGGCUAGGGGGCCAUCCCGGCUUACCAACCCGAUGCAAACUGCGAAUACCGGAGAAUGUUAUCACGGGAGACACACGGCGGGUGCUAACGUCCGUCGUGAAGAGGGAAACAACCCAGACCGCCAGCUAAGGUCCCAAAGUCAUGGUUAAGUGGGAAACGAUGUGGGAAGGCCCAGACAGCCAGGAUGUUGGCUUAGAAGCAGCCAUCAUUUAAAGAAAGCGUAAUAGCUCACUGGUCGAGUCGGCCUGCGCGGAAGAUGUAACGGGGCUAAACCAUGCACCGAAGCUGCGGCAGCGAACGUAUCACUUAAAGCGAUUCAGCGGGUUACGAUUGACGGAGCGAAGCGACGUCAAAGCGUAUACAAAGUCGAGUCGGUUUAAGGAUACGUUCGUUGGGUAGGGGAGCGUUCUGUAAGCCCGUGAAGGUGGCCUGUGAGGGUUGCUGGAGGUAUCAGAAGUGCGAAUGCUGACAUAAGUAACGAUAAAGCGGGUGAAAAGCCCGCUCGCCGGAAGACCAAGGGUUCCUGUCCAACGUUAAUCGGGGCAGGGUGAGUCGACCCCUAAGGCGAGGCCGAAAGGCGUAGUCGAUGGGAAACGGGUUAAUAUUCCCGUACUUGGUGUUACUGCGAAGGGGGGACGGAGAAGGCUAUGUUGGCCGGGCGACGGUUGUCCCGGUUUAAGCGUGUAGGUGUGUGUUCCAGGUAAAUCCGGUUCACUUUAACACUGAGGCGUGACGACGAGGCACUACGGUGCUGAAGCAACAAAUGCCCUGCUUCCAGGAAAAGCCUCUAAGCAUCAGGUAACAUCAAAUCGUACCCCAAACCGACACAGGUGGUCA
rnacentral:rRNA from 1 species